rnacentral:rRNA from 1 species
GAUGAACGCUGGCGGCGUGCUUAACACAUGCAAGUCGAACGAAGCACUUAUGAAUGAGAUUUCGGUUGAUUUUAUAAGUGACUUAGUGGCGGACGGGUGAGUAACGCGUGGGUAACCUGCCUCGUACAGGGGGAUAACAGUUAGAAAUGACUGCUAAUACCGCAUAACCCGCUAGGAUCGCAUGAUCCGGACGGAAAAGAUUUAUCGGUACGAGAUGGACCCGNGUCUGAUUAGCUAGUUGGUGAGGUAACGGCCCACCAAGGCGACGAUCAGUAGCCGGCCUGAGAGGUGAACGGCCACAUUGGACUGAGACACGGCCCAAAACUCCUACGGGAGGCAGCAGUGGGGAAUAUUGCACAAUGGGGAAACCCUGAUGCAGCGACGCCGCGUGAGUGAAGAAG